GUAUUUAUACUUCUAGGUUAUUUCUAGAGGCAAAAACGGUAUCGAUUUAGAGGUUAAGUUCAAGUUAUAAAUUUACAAUAUUACAUUAUUAAUGCAAGUAAAUUUCAUUUACUGCAACAUUACUGCAGAUUCACUUAAGGAAAGUAAAUAGCAAUUUCUCAAGUAGAAAAGUGUUAAGCUUAUCUAUGUUAAAAGCUGAAAUGGUACAAUUUUGUAUCACUAAAAUACUAGAUAAUGUAGCACAUGCUCACUGAUAUCUUGUUGAAACUUGCUGCUGGUUGAAACUGAUGUAUGUCUGGUUAACAUUUUAUCAAGUAUCAGAAACGCAAAGUGCCAGUAAUAUCGGCCCCCUCAUUACUGCUGAGUAACCGAGAAAGCUUUCCAAAAGACAAAGUUGUUCAACGACAACAAAACAUGUCACAAAGUCCGCAUCGUAGUCGGCUCAUCGUGUGUGUUGGUUUUCAUACUGCAUUUAAGAAACAUUCUAAUACAAAUAUCAAAUAAUAACAUUGUUAUUAACGUAGACAUUAUGCAAUCUGUUUAUAAAAUGCAAUCUAUUCUAUUUUGUACUUUACAAGAUACCUAUAAUUCUAUUUGUGUUCAUUUGUGCUUUAAAUAACAACGUUAAAUUCAAAAUUGUAGUAGAUACAUUUUUUUGUACUCAAAAUAGUGUGUGAAUUAACUUAUCAUUUACAUAACCUUUAGACUAUGUAUUCCAAUAAUUGAGGUUUAGAACAGUUUGGGGUGAA